rnacentral:rRNA from 1 species
GACGAACGCUGGAGGCGUGCUUAACACAUGCAAGUCGAACGAUGAAAUGGAGCUUGCUCCAUGGAUUAGUGGCGAACGGGUGAGUAACACGUGAAUAACCUGCCCUUAAUUUUGGAAUAAACCAGGGAAACCUGGGCUAAUACCGGAUAAGUAAACCUGUGGCAUCACAUGGUUUUGGAAAGUUUUUCGAUUAAGGAUGGAUUCGCGGCCUAUUAGCUUGUUGGUGAGGUAAUGGCUCACCAAGGCGACGACGGGUAGCCGGCCUGAGAGGGUGGACGGCCACACUGGGACUGAGACACGGCCCAGACUCCUACGGGAGGCAGCAGUGGGGAAUAUUGCGCAAUGGACGAAAGUCUGACGCAGCGACGCCUCGUGAGGGACGAAGGUCUUCGGAUUGUAAACCUCUUUCAGCAGGGACGAAGCGAAAGUGACGGUACCUGCAGAAGAAGCACCGGCUAACUAUGUGCCAGCCGCCGCGGUAA